rnacentral:miRNA from 1 species
GAACUCAUCAACCGGAAGGAAUUCCUUCCGGUUGAUGAGGUUUAGCUUCCUCAUUGACCAAAGGAGAGUCCUUCCGGUUGAUGAGGAAGCUAUACCUCAUCAACCGGAAGGGAUUCCUUCCUGUCGAUGAGGUU